rnacentral:rRNA from 1 species
UAGAGUUUGAUCCUGGCUCAGAACGAACGCUGGCGGCAGGCUUAACACAUGCAAGUCGAACGCACCCUUCGGGGUGAGUGGCAGACGGGUGAGUAACGCGUGGGAACGUGCCCUUCAGUUUGGAAUAACCCAGGGAAACUUGGGCUAAUACCGGAUACGCCCUAACGGGGAAAGAUUUAUCGCUGAAGGAUCGGCCCGCGUCUGAUUAGCUAGUUGGUGAGGUAAAGGCUCACCAAGGCGACGAUCAGUAGCUGGUCUGAGAGGAUGAUCAGCCACACUGGGACUGAGACACGGCCCAGACUCCUACGGGAGGCAGCAGUGGGGAAUAUUGGACAAUGGGCGCAAGCCUGAUCCAGCCAUGCCGCGUGAGUGAUGAAGGCCUUAGGGUUGUAAAGCUCUUUCGGCGGGGACGAUAAUGACGGUACCCGCAGAAGAAGCCCCGGCUAACUUCGUGCCAGCAGCCGCGGUAAUA